UACGUAGGUGGCAAGCGUUGUCCGGAAUUACUGGGUGUAAAGCGCGUGUAGGCGGCAGGCCAAGUCUGCGGUGAAAGCGCCCGGCUCAACUGGGCGAGGUCCGUGGAAACUGGUCAGCUGGAGGACGGUAGAGGCGAGUGGAAUUCCCGGUGUAGUGGUGGAAUGCGUAGAGAUCCGGAAGAACACCGGAGGCGAAGGCGGCUCUCUGGACCGAGACUGACGCUGAGGCGCGAAAGCGUGGGGGAGCAAACGGGG
rnacentral:rRNA from 1 species